CUGCGUGUGAAGGUGUUAAGCGGAGGAAGUCUUUCAAUGCUGUUUGUUUUCUGUUCAGCUCGCUGCAUUAACUGGAACCACAGACUAGAUGUCAGACCAGCUUCCUCCUCUACAUGUGAUUAAGAAUCCCCCAGAACAACAUAGUGAGAGAAGAAAGGACUCACUAUGAAUUUAAGAUCAGCAGCAAGAGGAUUUCUAGCUUUCCUUCUGUCAGUACCAGUGCUUCAGGGUAAUGAUGACUGGAGAGUUACGUACUCAUCUAGUAAUGUAUGCGCUUUAAGAGGAGCAAUGGUUGACAUCAACUGCACUUAUGAAUACCCUGACAAAGUACAAUACCGCCCUAACACAGUCAGAACACUGUGGUUUACUAAAGGAAACAAGUAUCCUGUUGAUCUGGAAAACGAUACAGACUAU